rnacentral:rRNA from 1 species
GAUGAACGCUAGCGACAGGCCUAACACAUGCAAGUCGAGGGGUAUCGGGUUCGCCCGAGAGACCGGCGCACGGGUGAGUAACGCGUAUGCAACCUACCUGCUACAGGGGGAUAGCUCCCUGAAAAGGGAAUUAAUACCGCAUAACACAAGGGUACCGCAUGGUAUUUUUGUUAAGCAUUUAUGGGUAGCAGAUGGGCAUGCGUGGCAUUAGGUAGUUGGCGGGGUAACGGCCCACCAAGCCUGCGAUGCCUAGGGGUUCUGAGAGGAAGGUCCCCCACACUGGUACUGAGACACGGACCAGACUCCUACGGGAGGCAGCAGUGAGGAAUAUUGGUCAAUGGGCGCAAGCCUGAACCAGCCAUGUCGCGUGCAGGACGACGGCCCUACGGGUUGUAAACUGCUUUUGUACGGGAAGAAAAAAGGCCACGUGUGGCCUCUUGCCGGUACCGUACGAAUAAGGAUCGGCUAACUCCGUGCCAGCCGCCGCGGUAAAAC